rnacentral:tRNA from 1 species
GGAGAGGUGGCAGAGCGGCCGAAUGCACUCGCUUGGAAAGCGAGCAGAGGUGAUGAGCCUCUCGAGGGUUCGAAUCCCUCCCUCUCCGCCA